rnacentral:misc_RNA from 1 species
CCCUUGUGGAGGAGGACGCCGAAGGUGGGGCUAAUGACUGGGGUGAAGUCGUAACAAGGUAGCCGUACCGGAAGGUGCGGCUGGAUCACCUCCUAACAGGGAGACAACAAAAUGUAAAUAUUAAUUUUGUCACCUUAGGUCGAUCGGUAUCUCAGAUUCUUAUUAUUUAAGAAUUUCAGUUUCUAAGUUUUUUCUAGGUCACACCCAUCACUUUUUCCUGGGCCAUUAGCUCAGGUGGUUAGAGCGCACCCCUGAUAAGGGUGAGGUCCCUGGUUCAAGUCCAGGAUGGCCCAUAUCUCUAUGUUGGGGGUAUAGCUCAGUUGGUAGAGCGCCUGCUUUGCAAGCAGGAUGUCAGCGGUUCGAGUCCGCUUACCUCCACUGAAUACCACCUCUUACAUAUAGUUGAAGUGGGAAAUUGUUUUGAGUCGUGUCCUAAUUUGCUCUGAGCGAAUCUAGCUUCCUAUUUUAUCCAAGAAAUAAGAUGCUGGACUCAUUGAAUUUUUUUUCAUUGUUUUCAGAGAACCUUGACAACUGCAUAGAUUAUUUUUAAAGACAAUAAGCAUCUUUAAUGAUGCAGAUUUAUUAUUUGUGCGAAUGCAUUAAAUAACAAUUCUAUUAAGCUGAUGCUUCAAUUAUUGAAGUUAUUGGUCAAGCUACAAAGGGCUCACGGAGGAUACCUAGGC